rnacentral:rRNA from 1 species
AUUGAACGCUGGCGGCAUGCCUUACACAUGCAAGUCGAACGGUAACAGGUCUUCGGAUGCUGACGAGUGGCGAACGGGUGAGUAAUACAUCGGAACGUGCCUAGUAGUGGGGGAUAACUACUCGAAAGAGUGGCUAAUACCGCAUGAGAUCUACGGAUGAAAGCAGGGGAUCGCAAGACCUUGUGCUACUAGAGCGGCCGAUGGCAGAUUAGGUAGUUGGUGGGAUAAAAGCUUACCAAGCCGACGAUCUGUAGCUGGUCUGAGAGGACGAUCAGCCACCGUGGGACUGAGACACGGCCCAGACUCCUACGGGAGGCAGCAGUGGGGAAUUUUGGACAAGGGGCGCAAGCCUGAUCCAGCAAUGCCGCGUGCAGGAUGAAGGCCUUCGGGUUGUAAACUGCUUUUGUACGGAACGAAAAGCCCUGGGUUAAUACCCUGGGGUCAUGACGGUACCGUAAGAAUAAGCACCGGCUAACUACGUGCCAGCCGCCGCCGUAACAC